AUUGAACGCUGGCGGCAUGCUUUACACAUGCAAGUCGGACGAGUGGCGGACGGGUGAGUAAUAUAUCGGAACGUACCGAGUAAUGGGGGAUAACUAAUCGAAAGAUUAGCUAAUACCGCAUAUUAUUCGAGCGGCCGAUAUCUGAUUGGCUAGUUGGGGGGGUAAAGGCCUACCAAGGCGACGAUCAGUAGCGGGUCUGAGAGGAUGAUCCGUAACACUGGUACUGAGACAAGGCCCCGACUCCUACGGGAGGCACAAGUGGGGAAUUUUCGACAAUGGGCGCAAGCCUGAUCUAGCCAUGCCGCGUGUAUGAAGAAGGCCCUAGUGGUGUAAAGGACUUCCAGUCUGGAGGCGUUACCGACAGAAGAAGCACCGGCUAACUCCGUGCCAGCAGCCGCGGUAAUUC
rnacentral:rRNA from 1 species